CCCACAUUGACUGUCAGUUGGAAACAGGAAACUUUGUUGUGCCAUCCAUCCACCCCGCUGUCCUCCCUACACUCUAUAACCGCCUGACUUCCUCCUUCGUUCCAACCAUUAUUCCUACAACCACUAGAGGAUGCUGUCACUUAAACACAAACAUGAUGUUGUUCUUGGGAAGAGAGUGUCUCCUGGACAGUGUUUCCUCACUGAGCUGCAGCGGACUGGCAGUAACACACGAGGGAACUUCAUACUAAAAAGAAUUUGUCUUCGAUCCAGCUAAGGCUCAGAAUACUUACAGCACUUGUACAGCCUGUUCAGCCUCUCAAUGUCAUUCUUGCUCAUCUGGGUGGCCUGGCCGAAAGGCACAUUGGCGUUGGGAAUGGGCUCCAUAGUGGGACGGUUGUUCUUGGAGAAGGCAUACCUGGAGAAUCACAGUUCACCCUGAUGUAGCUGUCCCUGUCAGAGCGGGUCUGUUCAUGGUUGAAGCCGAGGGCGUGGAGCAGCUCAUGCUGGAUGGUGCUGUGGUACAGACAGCCCUGGCGGCUCAGAGACACAGUCUGACUUCCGCCCUGACGACCCACCCAGGAGUAGCAGCUGUGGACACAUUAACACAGAACAGUUGUUAGAAAUUACACAACAUAUCACCAAUUGUUGCUCUUCAGUCUUCAUUUUAGAAGAGCAAUGCAACAAGUAUCCAUUUGAUUAUAUGCUGCAUCCUGUCAGAUCUCUUCUAUUCAAAUAUGAACAUCUUAUUCUACUGGUCACUAGUAACUAUCAGUGGCUGCUUAAAAUGUUUUAGACCGCAAACAUGCCAGCAGCAUUUGUUGUUAAGUCCAGUGGAAAAUAGUCUAAUAUACUUUCUGUAGUUAAUGAAAUGGAAAUGAAUCUGUGUUUCAUUAUAAGGGAAUUGAAAGGAGGACUGAGAUGCUUUAAAGCUGCAAUACGCAAAUUAUAGUCAGAGCCUCACCCGUCCCUGGACUCGAUGCUCAGCCACUCAUGAUCACCAUCCUGGUAGGGUUGGAAACGGAUGCAGGAAACUGAAGAGAAAGACUCCAGUCCACGAAUGAUGAUGGCCUGCUCACGGGAGGCUGGCAGGACAAAAAUGGCAGCUUGAGAAUAUCUGUAGCGGAGUAGCUUUUUCCACCAUUGUAACCUUAUCACAGUCAGUUAUGUUGUGUAACAAUUCCACUUUAUUAUUUUGGACUGCUGCAGAAUUUUAGGUUGUUAUUAUUACUGCCAUAGUUAUUAUGUCAUUAUAGUUGUGACACAGACCUAUUAACAUUUAACAUUUAAGUUACUUAUACAUGUUAUCUUGGCUCAGGGUACUUUUAGUUCCUACCUAAUGUUUUAUGGAGGACAAGUGUGAGUGUAACACUGAAGGGUAUAACAAGAAAGGGGGUAACCCAGAGAUCGGACAGUGAAGCUGACCAAAGCCUGCAUGGAGGGAUCCAUGUGACACCCCGUCGCACAUGAGAGAUGUGAGAGAGAUGAACUCUCGGCAAUCAAAAAAAACUAUGAGAGCAAUCAGAGACGCUGCUUUGGUGUUUGGCAGGUGAGCCUCGUAGCUGGGCUGAUUAAUCAGUGACGAUCCGAGUCACACAAACACACGCUGGUGCCAACAGGAAGUGGCCCUGUAGUAAUAUUUUAUUGGUCCAAAACUGGCUUCACUGCUCUCCAUUCAAAUCAGAGGGGUGGCUUUGUCCAGUAAUAUACUGUGCAACAGUAGAGUCUGUUGUGUACCCCGAGAGAGUUAGGGGAGUUUAUUAGUAUAUAUCAAAAGUAAAGUAAAAACACUCCAUGUGUAUAUUAUAUUGUUUGAUUAUUAUUACUGUGUGUAAUGUAGCACUGUUGUAGUCCAUAAAAGGCUGAGUCUUGUAAGUUUGAUAUUGAUUUUGUACAAUUCAAUGUAAUUUGAAAGGGUGAUGGAUUUUCUUUUCUUUUCUUUGUAUUUAUCAUUGCAAUAACAAAGAAACAGACUUGUGGGUGUAUAAAAAUCUAAAUAUCAGUCCGUCUGAAUGAGCUGUUACUGUAAAUAUUAUGAUAUGUGAUAUUUGUCUGUUCUGUGAGUAAAAUCUAUGAGUCACUAUUAAGCUAAAUCUAAAUAAAAACAAUGCUCACAGUAGUGGUUGGCGAUGUAGUAAGGGAUGUAGACCUUUCCAUCAGACCACUUCUGCCACAGGCAGCCUGUGGCGGUGCAGGGGUCAGCGUUUCUGUCGGCCACAGACUUUACAGCGAUGUCCCCCUCGAUCAGGGUGGGCUCAUCGAAGUCAGGGUCUGCAAGACAACACAGGUGUGGGGCUGAGGUUGAAAUACACAGCUGGUUAUAAAUGA